rnacentral:rRNA from 1 species
CUACGGGACGCUGCAGUGGGGAAUUUUGGACAAUGGGGGCAACCCUGAUCCAGCCAUGCCGCGUGAGUGAAGAAGGCCUUCGGGUUGUAAAGCUCUUUCAGCCGGGAAGAAAUCGCAUGGGUUAAUACCCUGUGCGGAUGACGGUACCGGAAUAAGAAGCACCGGCUAACUACGUGCCAGCAGCCGCGGUAAUACGUAGGGUGCGAGCGUUAAUCGGAAUGACUGGGCGUAAAGCGUGCGCAGGCGGAUGCUUAAGUCAGAUGUGAAAUCCCCGGGCUUAACCUGGGAAUUGCAUUUGAAACUGGGUGUCUAGAGUGCGUCAGAGGGGGGUGGAAUUCCACGUGUAGCAGUGAAAUGCGUAGAUAUGUGGAGGAACACCAAUGGCGAAGGCAGCCCCCUGGGAUGACACUGACGCUCAUGCACGAAAGCGUGGGGAGCAAACAGGAUUAGAUACCCGGGUAGUC